rnacentral:rRNA from 1 species
GAUCCUGGCUCAGGAUGAACGCUGGCGGCGUGCCUAAUACAUGCAAGUCGAACGCUUCACUUCGGUGAAGAGUGGCGAACGGGUGAGUAAUACAUAAGUAACCUGGCAUCUACAGGGGGAGUAACUGAUGGAAACGUACAGCUAAGACCGCAUAGGUGUAGAGAUCGCAUGAACUCUAUAUGAAAAGUAGCACGGACGNGU